CCGGUGUAGCGGUGAAAUGCGUAGAGAUCGGGAAGAACACCAGUGGCGAAAGCGCUCUACUGGACUGCAACUGACACUCAGGGACGAAAGCUAGGGGAGCGAAUGGGAUUAGAUACCCCAGUAGUCCUAGCCGUAAACGAUGAAGCUAGGGGCAUUGAUAUAUGGCUCAGGAUGAACGCUGGCGGUCUGCUUAACACAUGCAAGUCGAACGGAAUCCUUCGGGAUUUAGUGGCGGACGGGUGAGUAACACGUGAGAAUCUGCACUCAGGAUGGGGACAACAGCGGGAAACUGCUGCUAAUACCCAAUGUGCCGAAAGGUAAAAGAUUUAUCGCCUGAGAAUGAGCUCGCGGCCGAUUAGUUAGUUGGUGGGGUAAUGGCCUACCAAGACGGCGAUCGGUAGCUGGUCUGAGAGGAUGAGCAGCCACACUGGGACUGAGACACGGCCCAGACUCCUACGGGAGGCAGCAGUGGGGAAUUUUCCGCAAUGGGCGCAAGCCUGACGGAGCAAGACCGCGUGGGGGAGGAAGGCUCUUGGGUUGUAAACCCCUUUUCUCAGGGAAGAAGUUCUGACGGUACCUGAGGAAUCAGCCUCGGCUAACUCCGUGCCAGCAGCCGCGGUAAUACGGAGGAGGCAAGCGUUAUCCGGAAUUAUUGGGCGUAAAGCGUCCGUAGGUGGUGGGGCAAGUCGGCGGUUAAAGACUGGGGCUUAACUCCAGAAAGGCCGUGGAAACUGCACCACUAGAGGGCAGUAGGGGUAGAGGGAAUUCCCGGUGUAGCGGUGAAAUGCGUAGAGAUCGGGAAGAACACCAGUGGCGAAAGCGCUCUACUGGACUGCAACUGACACUCAGGGACGAAAGCUAGGGGAGCGAAUGGGAUUAGAUACCCCAGUAGUCCUAGCCGUAAACGAUGAAGCUAGGGGCA
rnacentral:rRNA from 1 species